GAGGACCAGACCAUAUUAUGGGUCUUGAAGACUCACAAAAAGUCAAGCAGCUACCCCAAGAAAACGAAAUGAAGGGCCAAGAUUAAUCAAUCAACCUCAAAUCCAAUGGUGAGUAUCUAAAGUCAUUUAGGGUUGAUAGAGGAUACUCGACAGCACUAUAUAAGUGGCCUCCAUGGCCAAUGGAGAGGUCACACUUGACAAAGAUCAAUGAGAGGAAAAGGAGAAGGAGCUUGGAUUUUCGGAAGGGUAAGGGAUGGGCGAGCGGGGAAGAUAAAUAAGUAUUGUUUCAUUAAAUGGGUAUGAUAUAAUUGUUUGUUAUCUUCCCUACUCCACCCAUGCCGUAGGUUUCCGAUUAUUCCUCCUUCUCCUCACCACCUCUGUUAUUCGUAGGAAUCUUUGACCCUUUCCUUCGUCUUCCACCGCCAUGUGUACGUCUUAGGGAUGGCUUGCAGGUUUUCUUGGACUGGGAGAUGAAGAAUGAUCCCUUAGGUGUUUUUUUUACGAAAUUUUUUGAAGGCUAUGGAUCUGAAAGAAUUUGAUAAAUGAAAUUCAAGACAGAUGGUGUUGAUUGUUGCUGGAUCUUGCAAUCGGGUGGAACUUGGAAGAACUGUUUUUCGGCCUAGGAUUUUUUUGAAUGACUUGGGCUUUUGGGCUUUUUCUGGUUUUGGACAAGUUUUAAGCUUGUAGAUAGAAUUUCCUUUGUAUUUGGAUAUGGGUUCAAGCUUUGUUGUGUAAUAUGCUUAGGCCUUUUAUGGACUUUUUAAAUUGAAAUCUUUAUUUUUGAAAAAAAGUCUUACUUAAAUGUAGAUUUAAAAUGAUUUAUAAAAUAAUGUUAAUUUUAAAAUUCA